rnacentral:rRNA from 1 species
UACGGAGGGUGCGAGCGUUGUCCGGAAUCACUGGGCGUAAAGGGCGCGUAGGCGGCGGGGUAAGUCGGGUGUGAAAUCUCAGAGCUCAACUCUGAAACUGCACUCGAUACUGCUCUGCUUGAGGACUGGAGAGGAGACUGGAAUUCACGGUGUAGCAGUGAAAUGCGUAGAUAUCGUGAGGAAGACCAGUGGCGAAGGCGGGUCUCUGGACAGUUCCUGACGCUGAGGCGCGAAGGCCAGGGGAGCAAACGGG